rnacentral:rRNA from 1 species
UACAGAGGGUGCGAGCGUUGUCCGGAAUCACUGGGCGUAAAGGGCGCGUAGGUGGCGACCCAAGUCUGUGGUGAAAGCUCGCCGCUCAACGGCGCGUCGGCCACGGAUACUGGGUUGCUCGAGCACUGUAGAGGCAGAUGGAAUUCCGGGUGUAGCGGUGGAAUGCGUAGAGAUCCGGAAGAACACCGGUGGCGAAGGCGGGUCUCUGGGCCGAUACUGACGCUGAGGAGCGAAAGCGUGGGGAGCGAACAGG